AGAGUUUGAUCAUGGCUCAGAUUGAACGCUGGCGGCAUGCCUUACACAUGCAAGUCGAACGGUAACAGGUCUUUCGGGAUGCUGACGAGUGGCGAACGGGUGAGUAAUACAUCGGAACGUGCCCAGUAAUGGGGGAUAGCUCGGCGAAAGCCGGAUUAAUACCGCAUACGCCCUGAGGGGGAAAGUGGGGGACCGCAAGGCCUCACGUUAUUGGAGCGGCCGAUGGCUGAUUAGCUAGUUGGUGGGGUAAAGGCCUACCAAGCCGACGAUCUGUAGUUGGUCUGAGAGGACGACCAGCCACACUGGGACUGAGACACGGCCCAGACUCCUACGGGAGGCAGCAGUGGGGAAUUUUGGACAAUGGGGGCAACCCUGAUCCAGCAAUGCCGCGUGCAGGAAGAAGGCCUUCGGGUUGUAAACUGCUUUUGUCAGGGAAGAAAUCCUGUGGGUUAAUACCUCGUGGGGAUGACGGUACCUGAAGAAUAAGCACCGGCUAACUACGUGCCAGCAGCCGCGGUAAUACGUAGGGUGCGAGCGUUAAUCGGAAUUACUGGGCGUAAAGCGUGCGCAGGCGGUUUUGUAAGACAGAGGUGAAAUCCCCGGGCUCAACCUGGGAACUGCCUUUGUGACUGCAAGGCUGGAGUACGGCAGAGGGGGAUGGAAUUCCGCGUGUAGCAGUGAAAUGCGUAGAUAUGCGGAGGAACACCGAUGGCGAAGGCAAUCCCC
rnacentral:rRNA from 1 species